rnacentral:rRNA from 1 species
CUUGGUCAUUUAGAGGAAGUAAAAGUCGUAACAAGGUCUCCGUUGGUGAACCAGCGGAGGGAUCAUUACCGAGUUUACAACUCCCAAACCCCUGUGAACAUACCACUUGUUGCCUCGGCGGAUCAGCCCGCUCCCGGUAAAACGGGACGGCCCGCCAGAGGACCCCUAAACUCUGUUUCUAUAUGUAACUUCUGAGUAAAACCAUAAAUAAAUCAAAACUUUCAACAACGGAUCUCUUGGUUCUGGCAUCGAUGAAGAACGCAGCAAAAUGCGAUAAGUAAUGUGAAUUGCAGAAUUCAGUGAAUCAUCGAAUCUUUGAACGCACAUUGCGCCCGCCAGUAUUCUGGCGGGCAUGCCUGUUCGAGCGUCAUUUCAACCCUCAAGCACAGCUUGGUGUUGGGACUCGCGUUAAUUCGCGUUCCUCAAAUUGAUUGGCGGUCACGUCGAGCCUCCAUAGCGUAGUAGUAAAACCCUCGUUACUGGUAAUCGUCGCGGCCACGCCGUUAAACCCCAACUUCUGAAUGUUGACCUCGGAUCAGGUAGGAAUACCCGCUGAACUUAAGCAUAUCAAUAAGCGGAGGA